CCAGAACUAUUCUUCUGAGAGAUUCCACCACCUCUUUGAUAAUUAUAGCCAGAAGAAUUACCAUAAUGCUGGGCGGAAGUACUCCUCUGAUGGGAAGGCUGCCUUUUGAAAACAGAACCUGUAUUCUGGUUGCUGCUGCUCCCACUGCCAUUCUGCACAGCAUGUGUCUUGCCAGCAUCUGGAAUGUUGCUAGCAGAUGAGCUCUUAGCAACAGUGCUCUGUGUUGAAGUACCAGCACCAGUGGAGCUUGAUGAGUCUACCAAGCCAAGUUCGUCCGGUAACUGGGUAACAGAGGCAUCAGUAGCAGUGGGGAAGUUCUGGUUGUCAUCAGAGGGUGCGGUCGUUUGAGACUCUGGGAACCUGUUAACUAAUGGUUGGUCAA
rnacentral:misc_RNA from 1 species